rnacentral:rRNA from 1 species
UACGUAGGGGGCAAGCGUUGUCCGGAAUCAUUGGGCGUAAAGAGCGUGUAGGCGGCCAGAUAAGUCCGCUGUGAAAUCUCGAGGCUCAACUUCGAGCUGUCGGUGGAAACUGUCUGGCUAGAGUCCGGAAGAGAAGAAUGGAAUUCCUGGUGUAGCGGUGAAAUGCGCAGAUAUCAGGAAGAACACCCGUGGCGAAGGCGGUUCUCUGGGACGGUACUGACGCUGAGACGCGAAAGCGUGGGGAGCAAACAGG